ACUCCUGCGGGAGGCAGCAGUGGGGAAUUUUGGACAAUGGGCGCAAGCCUGAUCCAGCCAUGCCGCGUGCGGGAAGAAGGCCUUCGGGUUGUAAACCGCUUUUGUCAGGGAAGAAAAGGUUCUGGCUAAUACCUGGGACUCAUGACGGUACCUGAAGAAUAAGCACCGGCUAACUACGUGCCAGCAGCCGCGGUAAUACGUAGGGUGCAAGCGUUAAUCGGAAUUACUGGGCGUAAAGCGUGCGCAGGCGGUUAUGCAAGACAGAGGUGAAAUCCCCGGGCUCAACCUGGGAACUGCCUUUGUGACUGCAUGGCUAGAGUACGGUAGAGGGGGAUGGAAUUCCGCGUGUAGCAGUGAAAUGCGUAGAUAUGCGGAGGAACACCGAUGGCGAAGGCAAUCCCCUGGACCUGUACUGACGCUCAUGCACGAAAGCGUGGGGAGCAAACAGGAUUAGAAACCCCAGUAGUCCCAUG
rnacentral:rRNA from 1 species